AAAAAAGAAAAAGAAAAAGAGAGCUCCACAUAUGUUCUUCUGCCUGCAGGUGUAUAUUAGUACAUAUCUACUUGUAUUUACGGAUUAUUCGAUUUGGGAAUCUAGAGCGAAAAAAUACACCAAAUCUUUUGGGCACUUCACUUGCUAUGUUUGGUGGUCCGAUUGUUUCUCCUCAUUUCUCUUUAUGGAGGCUAGAAUUGAGCCCAGGUGCCGCCUCAGCCAUGAUAAUUUCAUUACUGGAGCAAUGUUUCUCCAGGUAGGGUAAGAGAUUUCAAAGAAAGUAGGCUUUGGUGUUGAGGCACCGCCAAUGUAUUCAAUUAACUCCUGCACAGCAAGUACAUGGAAUUUUGGAGGUGCAUUCAGGGCAAUGUUGUGAACCCGGUGCUCAUAAAUCUUCCCAUCUUUAUCAAGCUUAUACUCUGAAGUACCAUCAAACCGACCAUGGCUCUCCCAUGGAACACGCGGAAUGCCAUGAACAGUCCACCGAACUAUUAUCAUAUUUUCCACUGGCUGCCAAACACUAACAAUGUCAAUCCACAAGGUCCUAAAUAACAUCCUGCCAUGGAAUCGUAGCGCCCAGAAGAUUGAUUUAUAAUUAUCAAUGCCAGUAAAUGUGUUGAUUGGAUCUUUGAAGACAAUAUCAUCCCUGUAUAUAUCAAAGCUUAGCUCCUUAUAGAAGAGGGAAGGAAACUCCUCUCGGAUAGUCCGAAUAGCAUAACCCGUAUUAAGAUAGUAAUUCCGCUUCUCCUCCUCCUCUUCCUCGUUCACUUCCGUCGACGACGUGCUAGUCUGCACAUGCGCAGAGACCUGUGCGUAAAACCCCA
rnacentral:misc_RNA from 1 species